rnacentral:rRNA from 1 species
GAAGCGGGAAAAGCUCAAAUUUAAAAUCUGGUAGUCUUUGGCUGCUCGAGUUGUAAUCUAGAGAAGCGUUAUCCGCGCUGGACCGUGUGUAAGUCUCCUGGAAUGGAGCGUCAUAGAGGGUGAGAAUCCCGUCUUUAACACGGACUACCAGGGCUUUGUGAUGCGCUCUCAAAGAGUCGAGUUGUUUGGGAAUGCAGCUCUAAAUGGGUGGUAAAUUCCAUCUAAAGCUAAAUAUUGGCGAGAGACCGAUAGCGAACAAGUACCGUGAGGGAAAGAUGAAAAGAACUUUGGAAAGAGAGUUAAACAGUACGUGAAAUUGUUGAAAGGGAAACGCUUGAAGUCAGUCGCGUUGGUCAGGGAUCAACCUUGCUUUUGCUUGGUGUACUUCCUGGUUAACGGGUCAGCAUCAAUUUUGACCAGUGGAAAAAGGUUAGGGGAAUGUGGCAUCUUCGGAUGUGUUAUAGCCUCUGAUCAUAUACAUUGGUUGGGAUUGAGGAACUCAGCACGCCGCAAGGCCGGGGUUUACCCACGUUCGUGCUUAGGAUGCUGGCAUAAUGGCUUUAAUCGACCCGUCUUGAAACACGGACCAAGGAGUCUAACAUGCCUGCGAGUGUUUGGGUGGAAAACCCAAGCGCGUAAUGAAAGUGAAAGUUGGGAUCCCUGUCGUGGGGAGCACCGACGCCCGGACCAGACCUUUUGUGACGGAUCCGCGGUAGAGCAUGUAUGUUGGGACCCGAAAGAUGGUGAACUAUGCCUGAAUAGGGUGAAGCCAGAGGAAACUCUGGUGGAGGCUCGUAGCGAUUCUGACGUGCAAAUCGAUCGUCGAAUUUGGGUAUAGGGCGAA